ACUGCAAGCCGCCUAAAUGCAGGGCUUUUGAUGAUAUUCCCCGCCAACAAGGCAUGAAGGUGGGGCUUGCCUCCAUCUGGCUCUCCUGCCACUUUCAACAACACACCCCACAUCCGAUCCUGCUUAGAGUCGAAGAUGAAUCUGGCAUAAUACAAACAGCACUGGACUGGAAGCAUGAAGUUUCUCUUAUCUGUGCCUUGGUUUCCUCAUGUGGAAAAUGAAAAUGUUGACAUAAAUAAUCACACAGGUCUCUGUUAGUACCAUUUUGUGAUUGAUUUUAUAUCGUGCUUGCCACACCUAGAAACAGGGGCCAUCAUUCCAGCCAGCUAACAGAGAAACAGACGAUACAUAAUCAGGCUUGGGAAAAUAAAUUUCAGAGACCAAGCAAACAAAGACAACAAUCUAGUAUAAGUGUUAUAACUGGGGGAUGAGGGGUUGCAAAUGGAGAUCUGCCACAGUCAACUUUAUUUGGAUUCCCCUGUUCUCAACAGGCAACAGCAAUCAUAAUGGGCUUGGAGCACCAGUCCCACAACAUCACAGGACAUCCAGACAUAAUUGCAUUAAUAAUGUUGUGCAUAAUCGCACAACUAUCCAGUUAUUCGGCAUCGUCCAAUAUGUGAAUAAAGCUCUGAGGAAAAAUUAA
rnacentral:lncRNA from 1 species